CCAGUUUUUAUUUUUGACUCCAACAACGCUGCUUUUAAAGUAGAAUUCCUUCGUGAACAGGUGCUGGUUGUGCGGUACGCUGCAGGAGAACUUCUCCCACGGCCACGCAGACUGACUGGCGGUUCAGUCAGUCGUUUCCACCAGCACUUGCUGCAUGGCUGAAAGUCAGUCCACACCACAGAACCUUCGCACUCUCUCCCACAGAAAAGGCAGGUUAUGAGGAAUGAACGCAAAAAAAAAAAAAACACCAUUGUGUGAAUUAAAUGGCAGACUUUUCUUUUUUCUUGCCAGCAACAGACAAGAGUCCAGGUCAUCAUGAUUGACACCUUUAAAUAGCUUUGACAGAGGUUGAUGACUAAAUUGUGGACCUGCUUCGAAAUCAGAACCACCUGGUCCACAAUCAAUGUAGAGAAAUGAUCAUUUUCACACCCACGAAAACACCGCAACGGACCAACUGCAGUGACAUUUUUCAGCAACGCUGUUCCAACGCUGUCUUUCUACAAACAUGUCUGGAGUCCAACAGCUGAGGGACAUGUUGAAACUAAAGCGAAC